rnacentral:rRNA from 1 species
AUUGAACGCUGGCGGCAGGCCUAACACAUGCAAGUCGAACGAGUGGCGGACGGGUGAGUAAUGUCUGUGAAACUGCCCGAUGGUGGGGGAUAACUACUGGAAACGGUAGCUAAUACCGCAUACCAUCGGAUGUGCCCAGAUGGGUUUCGCUAGUAGGUGGGUUAACGGCUCACCUAGGCGACGUUCCCUAGCUGGGCUGAGAGGAUGACCAGCGACACUGGAAUGGAGAUGCGGUCCAGACUAAUACGGGAGGCAACGGUGGAGAAUAGUGUACAAUGGGCGGAACGCUGAUGCGGCCAUGCCGCGUGUAGGAAAGAGGCAAUCGGGUUGGAAAGUAAUUUCAGCGAGGUGGCGUUACUCGAAGAAGAAGGACCGGCUAACUCCGUGCCAGCAGCCGCGGUAAUUC